rnacentral:lncRNA from 1 species
ACAAAUGCAAAAUAAUGGAGGUAUAAGCAAGUUCAUCAGAUUCUUCCUUUUGAUCAUCUGUCAUGGUAUCAGGAAAUUCAUCUGUUAUUGCUUUAGAAACUUUUUGCUGAACUAAAACACCUCACAUUUUUUGUUUCUAAAUGGGAAAAUCCCCUUUUCCAUCAAAAACACCAAGUUCAAAAGAUUUUGUUAUGUUUUAUUGUGAAAAACUAACACACAGUAUUUUUUCACAAAUUAUAACAGAACAGAUGAUCAACUUUUGAAAAAAUCUGUUGAAUUUGACCUUCGCAAAAAAUUUAUGUUUUAGGUCACACAAAAAAAAUAUGCAGUCAAAUGAAUGAGCCACAAUUAUUUUUAAUCACAAAUAAUUUCAAUCAAUAACAGCAUCAGUAGAUAUUCUAAUAUAAACACCACAAGAACCAGAAAAUACAACAAUGCAGACAAGAACCAUAUCUCAGUAUUAAAAAUCAAUAUUUGCAAGACCUAGGGUUGAUCAAAUUCACCAGGAUUCCGUGAUAAUCAAGUUCUCAGGUCAAGGCUCAAUUUGAAUCACCCAAACUUUAACGAUCACAGGCAAAUAUAACGAGAUAUCACUAACUAAUGUAACAUGUUACAAUAUAUAGCAAUUAAACAUAUCAACAUGGAGGCAUAUACUCAUAAAUGCAGUGUUAAGUGUGUGUGCAGUCGUGUAGGGUUCAAGAAGUGCAAACCGAGGAUGGUUAAACAGUUAACCACCAGCUAAAAUCAGGAACAGGUUAUCGCAGCAGGGGAUAAGUGCUCUGCAGGUCACCAAAUUACAAGUCAAGCCCUUACAGCUUCGAGUCCUUCUAAUCAGUUUCGAAGUUAGGGUUCCAGCUCAAGAACGAACCCACAGGAACUCGUUUUUUAAGGUUCUUCCACAGAUCAAGGCGAGAAGUCAUAGAACUCCCUCGCAUUUCACAGUCCAGUAAUGAAUCAGCCCCAUAGACCACUAGGUUGACUCAAAUCAAAACCUAGGGUUUCGCGAUCUACAGUCGAACACCUGGAAAUUAAUUUUCCAGUGUUCAAACCUUCGAUCGAAGACUCAAGAACGAACAUACAACGCUCUGAUACCACUAUUAAUCCAAGAUCUGAAAAAUUUAAACAACCAAAUCAUACACAGCAGAUUUACAGAAAAAACCUAAACCACUGGAUCAAGAUUUAGAUCUUUCAUUUAGGUUCAGACCAUACGCCCUUUUAGACCACCACAAAGGCACCGAACUCAGAAACACGAGCCCUCACAACCCCAAACACAAAGUCGCUUCACUGGAACUGAAAAUGGACAGACCACUUCCAACAGUUCACUCACACAAAGGAGACUAACACAAGGACACGAUUAUCACAAAGAUAAUCAACAGAAAAUCUCACACAGAGAAGAAGAAAGAGUCACAAAGACGAAGCCCUUGAAGGUUCCAGAAGACGCAGAGAAAAACAGAGAACAGAAAAUGACGAUCCCACUGCCAAACAAAGCAAAGGGUCGUAUUUAUAGUAAAACCCAUCCACCGUUGAUUAAGCGGGUUAAUCCAAUGGUCCAAGAGCGACUAAGAUACAUG